AAAAAAUAAAUUAAUGAAAAAACUUACUAUUUUAAGGGCAUAUUUGGUUCAUGAUUAGAAUAGAAAUGAGAAAUAAAAUUGGAUUGCUUUGGAAUGAAAAAUGAAAUGGCAAAUCAUCCAAAAAUAUUUGCUUUAUUAUUGGAAUGAAAAUCGGAAUGAAAAUUUAAAAUUUAAAAUUUUUGAGAGAGAAUUUUGAUUAAGAGUGAGGAAAUGAUGAAGGAAGAGGAGUUAGGUGUUGAUGAAAGAGGAUUUUGAAUAGUUUAUUUUAAAAUGAGCCAAUCUGGAAUUCAAUGCCGGAUUGGAUCAUAAAUGGAUUUGGCGAUCCCCAUUCCGGAGUAGAAUGGAAAUCGGAAUCCGAUUCCUAUAAAACAAACGGUAAUUAUCAGAAUCAAUGAAUUUCAUUCCGAUUUCAUAGUCUAAAAUAGGUGAACCAAACAUACCCUAAGUUCAAAUUUUCUCUUAAACAUUGUAGAUUUUUUAAAACUACUCUAACAAACCAUGCAUUAUCUAUUUACUAUAUACUAAAAUAGAACUCUUAGUGUAAAACUGGCACGUAACUUUCUAUAUGCUUGUCACGUGUUAAACUGAAAUAUAGAAUAACAAUUUAGUAAAUAAAUUAGGAAACACUAUUAAAUCAAAUUAAAUUACUAUUAAACACUAUUAAAAUAAUUAUAUAUACAAUUAACUAUAAUUUUAUUAGAAAACACUAUUAAACACUAUUAAAUUAAAUUUGGCUAUCAAUUAGAUGGUUAAAAAUAGAAUUUUAUUAGGAAACACUAUUAAAUCAAAUUAUACCAAUUAAGUAUAAUUAUAAAUACAAUUAAAUAGAAUUUUAUUAGGAAACACUAUUAAACACUAUUAAAUCAAAUUAU
rnacentral:lncRNA from 1 species